AUUGAACGCUGGCGGCAGGCCUAACACAUGCAAGUCGAACGAGUGGCGGACGGGUGGGUAAUGCUUGGGAAUCUAGCUGAUGGAGGGGGAUGACUACGGGAACCUGUAGCUAAUACCGCGUACCAUAGGAUGAGCCCACGUGGGAUUAGGUAGUUGGGGAGGUAAAGGCUCACCAAGCCGACGAUCUCUAGCUGGUCUGAGAGGAUGACCAGCCACACUGGGACUGAGACACGGCCCAGACUCCUACGGGAGGCAGCAGUGGGGAAUAUUGCGCAAUGGGGGAAAGCUGACGCAGCCAUGCCGCGUGAAUGAAGAAGGUCUUCGGGUUGUAAAGUUCUGUCGGUAGCGAGGCGUUAACUACAGAAGAAGCACCGGCUAACUCCGUGCCAGCAGCCGCGGUAAUUC
rnacentral:rRNA from 1 species